rnacentral:rRNA from 1 species
UGGGGAAUAUUGCACAAUGGGCGCAAGCCUGAUGCAGCCAUGCCGCGUGUAUGAAGAAGGCCUUCGGGUUGUAAAGUACUUUCAGUCGGGAGGAAGGUGGUAAGGUUAAUAACCUUAUCAAUUGACGUUACCGACAGAAGAAGCACCGGCUAACUCCGUGCCAGCAGCCGCGGUAAUACGGAGGGUGCAAGCGUUAAUCGGAAUUACUGGGCGUAAAGCGCACGCAGGCGGUUGAUUGAGUCAGAUGUGAAAUCCCCGGGCUUAACCCGGGAAUUGCAUCUGAUACUGGUCAGCUAGAGUCUUGUAGGGGGGGGUAGAAUUCCAGGUGUAGCGAUGAAAUGCGUAGAGAUCUGGAGGAAUACCGGUGGCGAAGGCGGCCCCCUGGACGAAGACUGACGCUCAGGUGCGAAAGCGUGGGGAGCAAACAGG